ACGAACGCUGGCGGCGUGCCUAAUACAUGCAAGUCGAACGCUUCUUUUUCCAUCGGAGCUUGCUCCACCGGAAAAAGAGGAGUGGCGAACGGGUGAGUAACACGUGGGUAACCUGCCCAUCAGAAGGGGAUAACACUUGGAAACAGGUGCUAAUACCGUAUAACAAUCGAAACCGCAUGGUUUUGAUUUGAAAGGCGCUUUCGGGUGUCGCUGAUGGAUGGACCCGCGGUGCAUUAGCUAGUUGGUGAGGUAACGGCUCACCAAGGCGACGAUGCAUAGCCGACCUGAGAGGGUGAUCGGCCACAUUGGGACUGAGACACGGCCCAAACUCCUACGGGAGGCAGCAGUAGGGAAUCUUCGGCAAUGGACGAAAGUCUGACCGAGCAACGCCGCGUGAGUGAAGAAGGUUUUCGGAUCGUAAAACUCUGUUGUUAGAGAAGAACAAGGAUGAGAGUAACUGUUCAUCCCUUGACGGUAUCUAACCAGAAAGCCACGGCUAACUACGUGCCAGCAGCCGCGGUAAUACGUAGGUGGCAAGCGUUGUCCGGAUUUAUUGGGCGUAAAGCGAGCGCAGGCGGUUUCUUAAGUCUGAUGUGAAAGCCCCCGGCUCAACCGGGGAGGGUCAUUGGAAACUGGGAGACUUGAGUGCAGAAGAGGAGAGUGGAAUUCCAUGUGUAGCGGUGAAAUGCGUAGAUAUAUGGAGGAACACCAGUGGCGAAGGCGGCUCUCUGGUCUGUAACUGACGCUGGGGCUCGAAAGCGUGGGGAGCAAACAGGAUUAGAUACCCUGGUAGUCCACGCCGUAAACGAUGAGUGCUAAGUGUUGGAGGGUUUCCGCCCUUCAGUGCUGCAGCUAACGCAUUAAGCACUCCGCCUGGGGAGUACGACCGCAAGGUUGAAACUCAAAGGAAUUGACGGGGGCCCGCACAAGCGGUGGAGCAUGUGGUUUAAUUCGAAGCAACGCGAAGAACCUUACCAGGUCUUGACAUCCUUUGACCACUCUAGAGAUAGAGCUUCCCCUUCGGGGGCAAAGUGACAGGUGGUGCAUGGUUGUCGUCAGCUCGUGUCGUGAGAUGUUGGGUUAAGUCCCGCAACGAGCGCAACCCUUAUUGUUAGUUGCCAUCAUUUAGUUGGGCACUCUAGCAAGACUGCCGGUGACAAACCGGAGGAAGGUGGGGAUGACGUCAAAUCAUCAUGCCCCUUAUGACCUGGGCUACACACGUGCUACAAUGGGAAGUACAACGAGUCGCAAAGUCGCGAGGCUAAGCUAAUCUCUUAAAGCUUCUCUCAGUUCGGAUUGUAGGCUGCAACUCGCCUACAUGAAGCCGGAAUCGCUAGUAAUCGCGGAUCAGCACGCCGCGGUGAAUACGUUCCCGGGCCUUGUACACACCGCCCGUCACACCACGAGAGUUUGUAACACCCGAAGUCGGUGAGGUAACCUUUUGGAGCCAGCCGCCUAAGGUGGGAUAGAUGAUUGGGGUG
rnacentral:rRNA from 1 species